CGAGGAUGUCCCCGUUUUACCCCUCUGUGUCUCGUGGACCGGCCUUGAUCCCACCCAGGUCUCAUUCACCAACUCGUCCUCUUCUCUCCUCUGUCCUGAUCUCCUCUCGGCAGCGGUGAAACCAUAGCUGUAGUGUCAGCGGCGGCGGCAGCACAUCGAUGAUCCCAUCAAAUCCCCCCCCCCCAAAUCCAGUUGCUAGAAGAGGAGUAGAUGGGUUAGUGAGGGAGGAAGCAAGGUGCUGGAUCUGUGGCCACGCACCCUGCAUGUAGCCUCUCGGAUUCGCAAUGGCUCGAGCGGAGGGGAAACCUGCAUGGCAUCCAGAAGGGUGAGUGUUCCUUUUCCUUCUUCUUUUCAAGGAUUUUGUGGUGUUCUUGUAGAUGCUAGGGUUAGUGUAGUUUGGUAAAUGCAAAUCGAUAGUAAUGCCUCCAUUGGUGCGUGUUAUAGGAUGGACCCAUAAAUGAGCUACAACUUAGAAAUAAGCAUUAUUGCCUACAAUACUCGAAGCAAAAGGUUUAGCUUUUCAAAGGUUGUUGACACCGACACAACAAAUUUCAAAGAUCUGCUGGAGGAAAUUCAGGAAAAGUACCCUUGUGGGUAUGGAGAUUUAGUGAAAUUGUUCUACUAUGCUGCUAACACCAAGUCCAACAUUGAAGCGAUAAUUGACCAGGAAUUACUUGACAUGUUUGCCAAACAUGUCAGUACCAAGACAUGCUGCUUGUCCAUUGCUUAUCAUCCUCCUAGUAGUGAGCCACCAACCAUACCAAUAUGGGAUGAUUGUGAUGAUUUCCCAUGCACCCCUUCUUUGCCAGUUUCUUUAGCAGUAGAUGCAAGCCAUAGCCACUUCAAAUAGACACCGGGUUGUAAUGAGGUCAACGCUGAGGACAAGAAACUAGAUAACCCUAAACCAGAAAUGAACAUGUUGGUGUAGAUGAGGAAGGGUUGUACAUUGACAUUAGCACAUAGAAUGACCCAGCUGCUGAAGGUGCUGAAUAUGGUAAUGCUAAGGCAGACCCGGACUAUGAAGGGCUUUCGGACUCUGAGGCAGACUCUGACUCUAAUUUUGACUAUGUGGAUGAUGAGGCUGAUGAGAUGGUGAGAGAUAAAUUGCCACCUCAUAAUCCUAAAAUAGUGUAUGACAAAGCUGACCCAUUUGAAUGCUUUUAAGUUGGCCUUAGCAACCCAUGCAAUAAGGACUGAGUUUGAGUUUAACAUUCAUAAGAAUGAACCAUGGAGGUACAGGGCAUAUUGCAGUGGGAGAGCUGAAGGUUGUAGAUGGAGGAUUCAUGCUUCUACAAUGGGAGACAACACAACAGUGAAGGUGAAAGGACUUGCUCAUGUUGGGCUUGGCAAGUAUCUGGACUACCUUGACAGCCUGCUCUUGUCUUCAUUACAAGGAUUAGUAGAGGGAAAAUUGAAGAUCAUGUGGACCACUUCUAUUCAGUUGAAAAGUUCAGAGCAGCAUAUGAGGGCAUCAUCCCUGCUAUACCUGACAUGGCCAUGUGGCCCAAAUCUGACCAUGGAUUUUUCAUGUAUCCACCUCUACUGAAGGCAACAGCCGGUAGGAGGAGGUAGAAUAGGUACAAAUCAAGUGCAGAAGGUGCCACUAGCACAAAUGUCCAAGUCAUGACUAUGGCCAUCACUGGUACACUUGCAAAGGAGAUCCUACUGACAUUGCAGCAGUGCUUGCUAAAAGGGGACCCCCAAAGAGGAUGAAAACGACACAACCAGCCUCUAUUGAAAGAAGUCUUGUGCCCGUCUCUGACCCUAUGACAACCUAGAAUUGUUUUCCCAGUAUUGCCCAGUACAACAUCUUCUAGGAACCAAAGGAACAACACAAGUAGCACAAAAUCAGCUGUUGCAAAGAAGAGGAAGAGCACAAGCACAAAAUCAGCUGCUGCAAAGAAGAAAAAGAGCACUACACCAUCUACAGCUUCGGACUUUGUCAAGUUAGCUAGACCAUCUACAGCUGCAGCCUGCAACAAAGAAGAAAAGGAGCACUACACCAUCUUGUUAUGUUCUAACUAUGUUCACCUAUAUGUCUGCAGUAAAAGAUCUGCUACUAGUUCUAACCAGUUGGAUGUUGUCACUAUGAGCACUGAGUUUCCAGAUGGACGCAUGCAGCAGGAUUAGCCCAUUUGUGGUGAAAAGAGUUCCAAGCUACCUAACAGGAAAAAAAAAAGGAAGCAACUACUAUGGUGGAAGCCCAAGGCCUUGGAUACAAGAAGCAAGGUCCGCAGUUCUCCAGACAACCCUGCAAUGGGAACAAGGAGCAAGAGGAAGCUUCAUAUCACUUAAUUUGCAAUGUUUCAUGGGUGACAAAGAACAUUUUGUAAAGUGAUGAUCCUUUUGGUACUUUGAUUGGUUCUUUCGGAACUUGUUGCAUCAUUCUGGAUGACAAAAAAAACUGAAGAACAAACUCCUGGAUAUGGUCUAGUUCAGCUCUGGAUGUGCUACACGUUGUAAGGUUUGUGGACGUGGUCAGGUUUAUCUAGAUGACUAAAACUAUGAUCUUGUUAUUUCGAAUGUUAGUAUCUGGUUGUGCAAUGGUCUAUGGACAUGAACACACUCCAACUUAUUCACAUUUUUCAUUCACCCAUCCA